rnacentral:rRNA from 1 species
UACGGAGGGUGCAAGCGUUGUUCGGAAUUACUGGGCGUAAAGGGCGCGUAGGCGGCCACCGCAAGUCGACUGUGAAAUCUCCGGGCUUAACCCGGAAAGGUCAGCCGAUACUGCGGGGCUAGAGUGCAGAAGGGGCAACUGGAAUUCUCGGUGUAGCGGUGAAAUGCGUAGAUAUCGAGAGGAACACCUGCGGCGAAGGCGGGUUGCUGGGCUGACACUGACGCUGAGGCGCGAAAGCUAGGGGAGCGAACGGG